UACGUAGGGUGCAAGCGUUAAUCGGAAUUACUGGGCGUAAAGCGCGUGUAGGCGGCAGCGUGUGUCGGGCGUGAAAUCCCACGGCUCAACCGUGGAAGUGCACUCGAAACUGCGCAGCUAGAGUCCUGGAGAGGAAGGUGGAAUGCUUGGUGUAGAGGUGAAAUUCGUAGAUAUCAAGCGGAACACCGGUGGCGAAGGCGGCCUUCUGGACAGUGACUGACGCUGAGACGCGAAAGCGUGGGGAGCAAACAGG
rnacentral:rRNA from 2 species